CGUCUAUAUACGUAUAGCAUAUCAAUAAGCGGAGGAAAAGAAACUAACUAGGAUUCCCUCAGUAACGGCGAGUGAAGCGGGAAGAGCUCAAAUUUGAAAUCUUCAAGGUUCUACCUUGACGAAUUGUAGUUUAAAGAAGUGUUUUCUGUUGGAGUUUUGGUAAAAGUUCUUUGGAAUAGGACAUCAUAGAGGGUGAGAAUCCCGUAUUUGACCAGUUACUUUCCAACUUUGUGAUACACUUUCAAAGAGUCGGAUUGUUUGGGAAUGCAGUCCAAAAUGGGUGGUAAAUUUCAUCUAAAGCUAAAUAUUGGCGAGAGACCGAUAGCGAACAAGUACCGUGAGGGAAAGAUGAAAAGAACUUUGAAAAGAGAGUUAAACAGUACGUGAAAUUGUCAAAAGGGAAGCGUUUGACACCAGUGUUGUUUUCUCGAAAAUCAAUUAAAAAUGGUGGGAUUUUGUGUUGUAUUGACUUUAUCAGCUUUCUGCACUUUUUUCCUAUCUUUUUUAAUGCACUUUUCGUUUAACAAGUCAACAUCAAUUUCUUUUGUUGUAAAAGAGUCAUUGGAAGGUGGCUUUCUUUUCGGAGAAAGUGUUUAUAGCCUUUGACUUCUGCAGUCGGAGAGAUUGAGGUCUGCAGCGUAGAUCCUUCGGGGUUAGAUGCAUUUGUGCUAAGUUAUAGCCUUUCAUAGACAACUUGUUGACUAUGAUCAGUCAUGUAGCUUACUCGCUUAUGUCAUUUUACCUACGCUUAGGAUGUUGACGAUCAGCUGAGCGCG
rnacentral:rRNA from 1 species